rnacentral:rRNA from 1 species
ACGGAGGGUGCAAGCGUUAUCCGGAUUUAUUGGGUUUAAAGGGUCCGUAGGCGGAUGAUUAAGUCAGUGGUGAAAGCCCACAGCUCAACUGUGGAAUUGCCAUUGAUACUGAUUGUCUUGAGUACGUUUGAUGUUGGCGGAAUAUGUCAUGUAGCGGUGAAAUGCUUAGAUAUGACAUAGAACACCGAUUGCGAAGGCAGCCAACAAAGCCGUAACUGACGCUGAGGGACGAAAGCGUGGGGAGCGAACAGG